rnacentral:rRNA from 1 species
UACAGAGGUCCCAAGCGUUGUUCGGAUUCAUUGGGCGUAAAGGGUGCGUAGGCGGCGCGGUAAGUCAGGUGUGAAAUCUCGGAGCUUAACUCCGAAACUGCAUUCGAUACUGCCGUGCUUGAGGACUGGAGAGGAGACUGGAAUUUACGGUGUAGCGGUGAAAUGCGUAGAUAUCGUAAGGAAGACCAGUGGCGAAGGCGGGUCUCUGGACAGUUCCUGACGCUGAGGCACGAAGGUCAGGGGAGCAAACGGG